rnacentral:rRNA from 1 species
AUUGAACGCUGGCGGCAUGCCUUACACAUGCAAGUCGAACGGCAGCGGGCCCUUCGGGGUGCCGGCGAGUGGCGAACGGGUGAGUAAUGCAUCGGAACGUACCCGGGAGAGGGGGAUAACCGGCCGAAAGGCUGGCUAAUACCGCAUGAACUCGGAAGAGCAAAGCGGGGGACCUUCGGGCCUCGCGCUCUCGGAGCGGCCGAUGUCCGAUUAGGCUAGUUGGUGGGGUAAAGGCCCACCAAGGCGACGACCGGUAGCGGGUCUGAGAGGACGAUCCGCCACACUGGGACUGAGACACGGCCCAGACUCCUACGGGAGGCAGCAGUGGGGAAUCUUGGACAAUGGGCGCAAGCCUGAUCCAGCAAUGCCGCGUGGGUGAAGAAGGCCUUCGGGUUGUAAAGCCCUUUCGGCGGGGAAGAAAUCGGUCAGGCGAAUAGUCUGGCCGGAUGACGGUACCCGCAGAAGAAGCACCGGCUAACUACGUG